AUUGAACGCUGGCGGCAGGCCUAACACAUGCAAGUCGAACGAGUGGCGGACGGGUGAGUAAUGUCUGGGAAACUGCCCGAUGGAGGGGGAUAACUACUGGAAACGGUAGCUAAUCCCGCAUACCAUCGGAUGUGCCCAGAUGGGAUUAGCUAGUAGGUGGGGUAACGGCUCACCUAGGCGACGAUCCCUAGCUGGUCUGAGAGGAUGACCAGCCACACUGGAACUGAGACACGGUCCAGACUCCGACGGGAGGCAGCAGUAGGGAAUAUUGCACAAUGGGCGAAAGCCUGAUGGAGCCAUGCCGCGUGAAUGAAGAAGGCUUUCGGGUUGUAAAGUACUUUCAGCGAGGAGGCGUUACUCACAGAGAAAGCACCGGCUAACUCCGUGCCAGCAGCCGCGGUAAUUC
rnacentral:rRNA from 1 species